rnacentral:rRNA from 1 species
UUCCUACGGGGGGCAGCAGUGAGGAAUAUUGGUCAAUGGGCGAGAGCCUGAACCAGCCAAGUCGCGUGAGGGAGGACGGCCCUACGGGUUGUAAACCUCUUUUGCCGGGGGACAAACGGCGGCACGCGUGCCGUCCUGAGGGUACCCGGAGGAAAAGCAUCGGCUAACUCCGUGCCAGCAGCCGCGGUAAUACGGAGGAUGCGAGCGUUAUCCGGAUUUAUUGGGUUUAAAGGGUGCGUAGGCGGGAUGCCAAGUCAGCGGUCAAAUACGGGGGCUCAACCUGCGUCCGCCGUUGAAACUGGCGU